UACGAGUGCCCCAAGCGUUAUCCGGAAUCAUUGGGCGUAAAGGGUGUGUAGGUGGUUUCGUUAGUCUUCCGUUAAAAUCCUGGGCUUAACCCAGGACUUGCGGAGGAAACGGCGAGGCUAGAGGAUGCGAGGGGUGAAUGGAACUCAUGGAGUAGGGGUGAAAUCCGUUGAUAUCAUGGGGAACACCAAAAGCGAAGGCAAUUCACUGGCGCAUUCCUGACACUGAGGCACGAAAGCGUGGGUAGCGAACGGG
rnacentral:misc_RNA from 1 species